rnacentral:rRNA from 1 species
GACGAACGCUGGCGGCGUGCUUAACACAUGCAAGUCGUACGGUAAGGCCCUUUCGGGGGUACACGAGUGGCGAACGGGUGAGUAACACGUGAGUAACCUGCCCACAACUUUGGGAUAACGCUAGGAAACUGGUGCUAAUACUGGAUAUGUGCUCCUGCUGCAUGGUGGGGGUUGGAAAGCUCCGGCGGUUGUGGAUGGACUCGCGGCCUAUCAGCUUGUUGGUGGGGUAGUGGCCUACCAAGGCGGCGACGGGUAGCCGGCCUGAGAGGGUGACCGGCCACAUUGGGACUGAGAUACGGCCCAGACUCCUACGGGAGGCAGCAGUGGGGAAGAUUGCACAAGGGGCGCAAGCCUGAUGCAGAAACGCCGCGUGCGGGAUGACGGCCUUCGGGUUGUAAACCGCUUUCAGCAGGGACGAAGCUUUUUGUGACGGUACCUGCAGAAGAAGCACCGGCUAACUACGUG